rnacentral:lncRNA from 1 species
AUGAUGUUGUAAAAAGUCAAUGAGUUUCAGAGUUUUUACCUGGACUUUAAAAUAAAUUUGAGUGAUUGAGGAAAACUGAGGAAGACUUACUUUUUCCAGACUAUUUUGUUUUACAUGAUGGUAGAUUUUUUAAUGCUGCAUGUAUGUAACAGAAUAUGACCCCUUUCAAUCCAAUGCAAAUAGUUUACAUAAUUGUGUUUGGAAGGGUCCUGAUUUUGCUAACAUGAACUCAGUAAUGUCACCGACAUUGCAACCCUGAAACCAUUCUUAUUCAUUCUUUCUUUCCUUUCGGCAAUUACUGUUCACAAGAAUUCUUUCGGUAUUUCUAUAAAUGUUGCAACUCCUUCCGCAUGGUUGACUGUGUUAGCUAGGCCACUAGUUUCAAAUGUUGCCAUGUCAAUCUAGAUUCCAACGGGUCAUUUUUCAAUAUAGUUUUUCAAUAUGUACUUUCUAAAAUGAAUCCUGAAAUAGGUUUUGAUUUUCAUAUGAAGUAGGAUUGAUUAGAUCUACGAUUGUAGUUUCUUAAGCUAUUGUCUGAUUCUUUUCAGAAAACAAAAGGAAAAAAUCUUAAUUAUAGCAAUUGAAAGUAGAUUAAAUUUAUUUUAAUAUAUUCUGAAAAAAACUAAUGUGACAUUAUUAUGAAAUUUUAAAAAAUCACCUUUCCUCUCUCUAAGAAUAUAUUAAUAGUUAUUCUUGAUUGAGACAGUUAGAAUAAAUAUUAUAGGCCAAGUUUUUUUCUGGCUCAUACUGUCUGUGGUGUAUAAUGCAUUUGAAACAGGCAGUCCCCUGUUUUAAUGAUUAGGUUUGUUUGUGAGUGCACAGCAUCCAUCUAUGACUGUGAUAUAUAUAACCUAUAUCCUGUAAGGUCAUAAACAGAAUGACCAUUGGCUGUUGAUGAAAAGUUAAGUUUGAAAUCUUUUAACUCCUUUUCACCAAAAACCAAUUUAUACACAAUAAAAAUCAUAUUGCUUGUUUUCAGAGAGCAAGAAUGUAGUCAGGAAAUUGCAAAGAAGAAUUCACUUCAAACACAUUGUAAAAUCAAUGUGUCUCUGUUUUCUUUUCUGUUCAUGCAGACAAAUGUAGACACAGGUAUCUUUCCUCCAUUUGCAAUGGAUUUAGAGUUAUGUCUAUAUAAUCAGUGGAAAAAAUUCUUGGCCGCAUAUCAACUUAGCCCAUUCAGAUGGCAGCAAAAGCAGUAUUUCAGGGUCGUUGGGGAGUCAUUUGUAAUAAAUUAACCUCAUUGGUUUGUACCAGAUGUGAUGCCCAGGGUGGUCUCAGGACCAUUCCGGGGGUCCUGCAUGCUGAUGCCUUCUCUCCAGCACUUCUCCUAAUGUAGCACACGUGUGAAAAAAUCCUCUACUUGAA